GAAAUUAAAAUAAUUUUUGAUAAAAUAAUAAUUAAUAAUAAUAAAUAUAAUAAAAAAUAUCAAGUAUAAAAAAAAUAGUACAAUAAAAGUUCUAAAAAUAUUAAGUACAAAUCUAAAAAAUAUUAAGUUCCACUAGAACGUCGUGGUGCCCGUGGUCGCUUGGACCUUCUAAGGAAGGUCCUUAACGGUCGCUCCUACUCCUGUAUCUGCUGUGAUAGCUCAUCUCCCAUAUGAGUGGAGGUCUGCUGGUCAUGCUGCUCGAAAAUAACCUCCUCAAUCUCCUC
rnacentral:lncRNA from 1 species